rnacentral:tRNA from 1 species
AAAAAUUUAGUUAAAAAAUAACGUUAGCUUGUCAUGCUAAAAUUAUCACGAAAGAUAAUUUUUA